GGUCAAUGAACUGGUGGGACAUUAAUCUUCUUUUGUUUCCAUUGCUGUCUCUUUAUGUUUUAGCAUAUUCUUUCAACCUUAUGGUUUAAGGGAAGGAUAGUAAUAGGGUUUAUUGACUUGUGUGCCUGUCCAUGAAAAAUUCAUGUCCAAAAUUAUGUCAGAGUGAAUAAUGUGUUUGUUAUUGAAUUGGACUAGAAUGCUAAAUUGCAACUGAAUAUAUUGGUUUUGCCUUAUUGCUACAAUGAUUCCUGAUGCCUGCUGCCUGCUGCCUGAGAGGCAGUGGCUGGAAAGUUGUAUUAAUUAAAAUGCAAAAGCCUAUUAAGUAAUCUAUUUUUAUUGUGGCCAUCCGAAUUCACAUGUGGGAUUAUUGAGCUAUCUAUUUUCCUUUUAUCCAACUAAUUCCUUUUCUUUUCUCCCUUUUUAUUUCUUUGUUUUAUUAUUUAUUUAUUUAUUGUGGUUGAAGGGGGUGGGUUCCAUUGGAAGCUCUUUUGGCUUUUUACUUUCUCUAUACAAUCCCAUUAAGCACUUUGCCACUAUUUCAAUGGGAUCCAAUUGUGACUUCUAAUUUGGUAUUCCCAACCAAGUUCAAAAAACAAAGCUUUGAACUCUGUGACAGUCCAAUUAAAGUCUGAUGUCCAAAACAUUUGGCCAACCUUUGAGGGAUUGUUGGAAAUUACUUUUUUCCAGGACUACUUCAUUUGUCUCUUCUAGUCACUGGAGGAAAAGUUUGACUUUUGUUUGGAGGUGGUGUCCAAUUCUUUCAAUCAAGUCAUCUAAAAUUGAAUAGCAAUGUAGGAUAAGUUUCAUCUUGUGCCAAAUAUUAUUUAAAAUAUCAGCCUAUUGUGUGGUUAUGGCCAUCUACAUCUCUGUUUUCGAUGAACUAAUUUUACUUUAUUCAACAUUUUCAUGAUUAGAUGCGCAUAGAUAUCGAUCUAUCAUUUUUUUUUUUUU
rnacentral:misc_RNA from 1 species